rfam:Myotis lucifugus cont2.12435, whole genome shotgun sequence.
AGAGAGAAUUGGAACGAUACAGAGAAGAUUAGCAUGGCCCCUGUGCAAGGAUGACAUGCAAAUUCGUGAAGCAUUCAUAUUUUUA